rnacentral:rRNA from 1 species
UACGGAGGAUCCGAGCGUUAUCCGGAAUCAUUGGGUUUAAAGGGUCCGUAGGUGGACGGUUAAGUCAGGGGUGAAAUCCCGCAGCUCAACUGUGGAAUUGCCCUUGAUACUGGUCGUCUUGAGUCGUUGUGAAGUGGUUGGAAUAUGUAGUGUAGCGGUGAAAUGCAUAGAUAUUACAUAGAACACCGAUUGCGAAGGCA